GGAGGAGCCCUUAUGAAAACUCUGCUUUGCAGCUGGUUUGUUGGACGCUGUGACGCAUUUUCCAACUCAACAGGAGUUAUAGCCAUGGUCUGACUACACAGGAGGAAGCCGAUGGGAACCUGCAGCUGCAGUGAACUUCUGGCAUUGGCAGAACAGCAAAGAGCCAAAAGAAUAGAAGCCAUUUUCCAACAUGCAACUGCAGAAGCUAAGAAACAUUGGAAAGGAUGGGCCCAUAAACUACGACCAAAUAUCUCCUAGUUUUCGUCACAGAAGGUUUCAGUGCAAAGCCUUGACAGAAUGUUAAAUUAAUUCAGUCUAAAUAAAUAAAAGCAUUAUCCUUUGAA